AUUGAACGCUGGCGGCAGGCCUAACACAUGCAAGUCGAGCGGAAACGAGUUAUCUGAACCUUCGGGGAACGAUAACGGCGUCGAGCGGCGGACGGGUGAGUAAUGCCUAGGAAAUUGCCCUGAUGUGGGGGAUAACCAUUGGAAACGAUGGCUAAUACCGCAUAAUGCCUACGGGCCAAAGAGGGGGACCUUCGGGCCUCUCGCGUCAGGAUAUGCCUAGGUGGGAUUAGCUAGUUGGUGAGGUAAUGGCUCACCAAGGCGACGAUCCCUAGCUGGUCUGAGAGGAUGAUCAGCCACACUGGAACUGAGACACGGUCCAGACUCCUACGGGAGGCAGCAGUGGGGAAUAUUGCACAAUGGGCGCAAGCCUGAUGCAGCCAUGCCGCGUGUGUGAAGAAGGCCUUCGGGUUGUAAAGCACUUUCAGUCGUGAGGAAGGUGGUGUAGUUAAUAGCUGCAUUAUUUGACGUUAGCGACAGAAGAAGCACCGGCUAACUCCGUGCCAGCAGCCGCGGUAAUACGGAGGGUGCGAGCGUUAAUCGGAAUUACUGGGCGUAAAGCGCAUGCAGGUGGUUUGUUAAGUCAGAUGUGAAAGCCCGGGGCUCAACCUCGGAAUAGCAUUUGAAACUGGCAGACUAGAGUACUGUAGAGGGGGGUAGAAUUUCAGGUGUAGCGGUGAAAUGCGUAGAGAUCUGAAGGAAUACCGGUGGCGAAGGCGGCCCCCUGGACAGAUACUGACACUCAGAUGCGAAAGCGUGGGGAGCAAACAGGAUUAGAUACCCUGGUAGUCCACGCCGUAAACGAUGUCUACUUGGAGGUUGUGGCCUUGAGCCGUGGCUUUCGGAGCUAACGCGUUAAGUAGACCGCCUGGGGAGUACGGUCGCAAGAUUAAAACUCAAAUGAAUUGACGGGGGCCCGCACAAGCGGUGGAGCAUGUGGUUUAAUUCGAUGCAACGCGAAGAACCUUACCUACUCUUGACAUCCAGAGAACUUUCCAGAGAUGGAUUGGUGCCUUCGGGAACUCUGAGACAGGUGCUGCAUGGCUGUCGUCAGCUCGUGUUGUGAAAUGUUGGGUUAAGUCCCGCAACGAGCGCAACCCUUAUCCUUGUUUGCCAGCGAGUAAUGUCGGGAACUCCAGGGAGACUGCCGGUGAUAAACCGGAGGAAGGUGGGGACGACGUCAAGUCAUCAUGGCCCUUACGAGUAGGGCUACACACGUGCUACAAUGGCGCAUACAGAGGGCAGCAAGCUAGCGAUAGUGAGCGAAUCCCAAAAAGUGCGUCGUAGUCCGGAUUGGAGUCUGCAACUCGACUCCAUGAAGUCGGAAUCGCUAGUAAUCGUGGAUCAGAAUGCCACGGUGAAUACGUUCCCGGGCCUUGUACACACCGCCCGUCACACCAUGGGAGUGGGCUGCAAAAGAAGUAGGUAGUUUAACCUUCGGGAGGACGCUUACCACUUUGUGGUUCAUGACUGG
rnacentral:rRNA from 2 species